ACGGCUCAGUAACACGUAGUCAAUCUAACCUAUGGACGGGGAUAACCUCGGGAAACUGAGAAUAAUACCCGAUAGAUCAUUAUACCUGGAAUGGUUUAUGGUUCAAAUGAUUCGUCGCCAUAGGAUGGGACUGCGGUCUAUCAGCUUGUUGGUGAGGUAAUGGCUCACCAAGGCUAUAACAGAUACGGGCUCUGAGAGGAGAGGCCCGGAGAUGGGUACUGAGACACGGACCCAGGCCCUAUGGGGCGCAGCAGGCGAGAAAACUUUGCAAUGUGCGAAAGCACGACAAGGUUAAUCCGAGUGGUUUCUGCUAAAGAGAUCUUUUGUCAGUCCUAAAAACACUGAUGAAUAAGGGGUGGGCAAGUUCUGGUGUCAGCCGCCGCGGUAAAACCAGCACCUCAAGUGGUCAGGAGGAUUAUUGGGCCUAAAGCAUCCGUAGCCGGCUGUGUAAGUUUUCGGUUAAAUCUACAUGCUCAACAUGUAGGCCGCCGGGAAUACUGUACAGCUAGGGAGUGGGAGAGGUAGACGGUACUCCGUAGGAAGGGGUAAAAUCCUUUGAUCUAUGGAUGACCACCUGUGGCGAAGGCGGUCUACUAGAACACGUCCGACGGUGAGGGAUGAAAGCUGGGGGAGCAAACCGGAUUAGAUACCCGGGUAGUCCCAGCUGUAAACAAUGCAAACUCAGUGAUGCACUGGCUUGUGGCCAGUGCAGUGCCGCAGGGAAGCCGUUAAGUUUGCCGCCUGGGAAGUACGUACGCAAGUAUGAAACUUAAAGGAAUUGGCGGGGGAGCACCACAAAGGGGUGAAGCCUGCGGUUCAAUUGGAUUCAACGCCGGG
rnacentral:rRNA from 1 species